AGCGUGGAGAGGUUAGCUUCU
rnacentral:miRNA from 12 species